UUGAUUUUUGAUUCCAAUUGUAUGCAUCAUAUCUGUUGUACUGAUUCGUUAAAGAAUCAUAAACAAGGAUCACUAGUGUCUAUCUUAAUUGCAAAUUUGACUUUUUGCAAAGCCAUAUUGGAAUCACAAACAUAAAAAAAAGGGUUGUCAUCUCAAAUUUUUUAAGUAAAAUUCAAACAAUCAAGUUUUUGUAUGUUGAAAAGGGGGAUCAUUAGCAUGUUUUUUAAACAAGAAAUCGAACCCGUAUCGGUUCUAGCAAGUCAAACCGAUUCCUGGUUCAAAUAGCAAGUUCCGGAUCGUUUAGUUCAAAAUAGCAAGUAGCACGUUGAAUCAUCACGAUUCAGUCUAGCAAGAAAACGACCAUUCUUGGUCAAAGCAAGAAAAAGCAAGUACAGCGGGUCGAUUAAAUUAAGUCCAAUUAGCAAGUUGGUUGGAUAUUUUUUUAUCACUCGCAACAGCAAGUUAGCAAGAAUCUGAUCAGCAAGUCGGUCAGA
rnacentral:lncRNA from 1 species